CUUUUUCCUCAUGGUAGUCACUUGCGGUCCAUUGCUCACGAAGACACGAAAGAAUACUCCGGUUGGAACUUUAUUGAAGCUAUAUGUUAAAAACAUCCUAAUGAUUGAUUCUGUACUUAGUCUGAAAUGUUUCUUCGACCGGUAAUAUCACUUUUUGAAGUUUUUGUCCAAUAUAAUGCUGACCAGAAUUAGCGUUUGGAUAUGUAUAUGGACAUAAUUAAUGGACAUUUUCGAACAAAACAAACAUUUAUUGUGGACCUGAGAUUCCUGAAGUGCUUUCUGAUGUAGAUCAUCAAAGCCUGUGUUCUGUUUGGCCUAAGACAUCAUUUGUGACUGCUGUCAGAAUCUGUCGAUGCAAAGCCAGGCAGUACUGACCAGAUGCUUGAAACCUGAUCUGCCUUGCACAAUUCAGUGUGAGGAUAGAUAGAGGGAACAGAGAAGCCACAGAGACAAGUGUGCCAAAAAGACAUCAAGGUUUUCGAGAAUCUCAGUUACUCAAACAUCUAACCAGUACAGGGUGUAUUGGGCUUUCCUCGUACUCUUGAGGAAGACUAUAGUCAGCAGAGACUGCAGUGGCCACAAGCACAUCAUCACUACCGGUUUCCACUGACUUCGUCACCCGAUCCUAGCAGAUUCUCACUGGAAAACUCCUAGGCGUGGUGCAAUGUGUAUCGGAAAAGGCUAACGUGCUUCAACAGACUUGGUCCUGCUUUUAAGAUAUCGCCCUGCAACGACCUCUCUCUCAGCAAACUCAAAGGACCUCUGACAUGAUGUCCAAAC
ensembl:lncRNA